rnacentral:rRNA from 1 species
UACGUAGGGUGCGAGCGUUAAUCGGAAUUACUGGGCGUAAAGCGUGCGCAGGCGGUUUUGUAAGCCAGAUGUGAAAUCCCCGGGCUUAACCUGGGAAUGGCAUUUGGGACUGCAAGGCUUGAGUGCGGCAGAGGAGACUGGAGUUCCUGGUGUAGCAGUGAAAUGCGUAGAUAUCAGGAGGAACACCGAUGGCGAAGGCAGGUCUCUGGGCUGACACUGACGCUCAUGCACGAAAGCGUGGGGAGCAAACAGG